rnacentral:lncRNA from 1 species
UUUUGUGAUGGUGAGAUAUGAACAGAAGAAUACUGAGAGAUGAAGGAAGAAGAGAAUGGAAAUGGUAAAGGAAACGUUCUAGAGAAAUGGAGAUGGAGUAUUUUUUAUUUUUCAUAAUUAUUUAAUUGUGGUUUUUAACUAUUAGGUGUCGGUUAAAUUAAAACCCAUUUUGGUAAUUGGUCACCCCAAAAGUAAUUUUGAUCAAACUAUCCAAACAAUAUAAAUUGGUGAAAAUCACUUUUAGUAAAUGUAUCCAAAC